rnacentral:rRNA from 1 species
UACAGAGGGUGCGAGCGUUAAUCGGAAUUACUGGGCGUAAAGCGCGCGUAGGCGGCUUUGCAAGUCGGGUGUGAAAUCCCCAGGCUUAACCUGGGAACUGCAUUCGAGACUGCAUUGCUAGAGUAUGGGAGAGGGAAGUGGAAUUUCCGGUGUAGCGGUGAAAUGCGUAGAUAUCGGGAGGAACAUCAGUGGCGAAGGCGACCGCCUGGCCCAACACUGACGCUCAUGCACGAAAGCGUGGGGAGCAAACAGG